rnacentral:rRNA from 1 species
UACGUAGGGGGCAAGCGUUGUCCGGAUUCAUUGGGCGUAAAGAGCUCGUAGGCGGCUUGGCAAGUCGGGUGUGAAACCUCCAGGCUCAACCUGGAGACGCCACCCGAUACUGCCAUGGCUAGAGUCCGGUAGGGGACCACGGAAUUCCUGGUGUAGCGGUGAAAUGCGUAGAUAUCUGGAGGAACACCGGUGGCGAAGGCGGCAUCCUGGACCAAUUCUGACGCUGAGUGAGCGAAAGCCCGGGGAGCAAACGGG